rnacentral:rRNA from 1 species
UACGUAGGUCCCGAGCGUUGUCCGGAUUUAUUGGGCGUAAAGCGAGCGCAGGUGGUUUAUUAAGUCUGGUGUAAAAGGCAGUGGCUCAACCAUUGUAUGCAUUGGAAACUGGUAGACUUGAGUGCAGGAGAGGAGAGUGGAAUUCCCUGUGUAGCGGUGAAAUGCGUAGAUAUAUGGAGGAACACCGGUGGCGAAAGCGGCUCUCUGGCCUGUAACUGACACUGAGGCUCGAAAGCGUGGGGAGCAAACAGG